GGGUAGUUUGACUGGGGCGGUCUCCUCCCAAAGAGUAACGGAGGAGCACGAAGGUUAGCUAAUCCUGGUCGGACAUCAGGAGGUUAGUGCAAUGGCAUAAGCUAGCUUGACUGCGAGCGUGACGGCGCGAGCAGGUGCGAAAGCAGGUCAUAGUGAUCCGGUGGUUCUGAAUGGAAGGGCCAUCGCUCAACGGAUAAAAGGUACUCCGGGGAUAACAGGCUGAUACCGCCCAAGAGUUCAUAUCGACGGCGGUGUUUGGCACCUCGAUGUCGGCUCAUCACAUCCUGGGGCUGAAGUAGGUCCCAAGGGUAUGGCUGUUCGCCAUUUAAAGUGGUACGCGAGCUGGGUUUAGAACGUCGUGAGACAGUUCGGUCCCUAUCUGCCGUGGGCGCUGGAGAAUUGAGGGGGGCUGCUCCUAGUACGAGAGGACCGGAGUGGACGCAUCACUGGUGUUCGGGUUGUCAUGCCAAUGGCACUGCCCGGUAGCUAAAUGCGGAAGAGAUAAGUGCUGAAAGCA
rnacentral:rRNA from 1 species